AGUGCCUGGAGUUACUUGGAUGCUACCCGAAGCCAGACGAUCUAGCCGUGAGUAAGGUGAAGCGAAGGUAAAACUUCGUGGAGGCCUGAAGAGGUGCUGGGUGCAUCCGUUCUUUUAACUUGCGGCUAGGGGUAAAAAGCCCAUCGAGUCUGGAUGAUAGCUGGUUCCUGUCAAAGUAGGCCGUAGUCUAGCCUCAAGCACGAUUGCUAUUACGGUAAAGCGACGGAUUACGGAUUUAGGCGCCGAAAGGUGUCGGUCUGUUGUCCAACUCAGAAUGUGAUAGUAUGAGCUUGGGAGACGGGGAGUCGGGGUAAACUUGACUUCCGAUAGGGGAACAUCCCAGACUGCAGUUAAGGCCCUCAAAGGUUGGCUAAGUGUAAAAGGUUGAAGGAUGUCAUUAGCCGAAAACAGCGAGGAGGUUGGCUCAGAAGCAGCCAUCCUUUAAAAAGUGCGUAAAAGCUUACUCGUCAAGGCUAGUGGCGCCUAAAGUGGACGGGACUAAGCCGACUGCCGAUACUGCAGAUCUCGAAAGAGAAUGAUAGACAGGCGUCUUGCAAGGGCAGAAGUGUUUUCUCAAGAAAACAUGGACCUUGUCAGAAUGAAAAUCCUGGCAGUAGUAGGAUCUUAGCAGAGUGAGAAUCUCUGCCACCGAAAGGCUAAGGGUUCCUUGACAAUGUAGUUCAGUCAAGGGUAAGUCGCUCCUAACCGCAUUCCUAACAGUUAUGCGGGAAAGGGAAAUCGGUUAAUAUUCCGAUACCGUCAAGGUAUUUGGUAACAAAAGCUUAGAAAGUAACGCUUCGGGUAGGGUUGACGCAUGUUCUGCGCUAACCAUGGCAUGCCUGUGGAGUAUCGUAAUGAUGAGAAGCAGGCAAACCUGGGAAUGGGUAACUCAGCUUGUGCCUGGAGCCCUUGAAAAGCUUUCUAAGUUAAAUCCUUGAUGUGCGUACCCAGAACCAGCACUGGUAGCCUGGAUGAGAAGUCUAAGGUGUGAAGGUGUAAUUCGAUUAAGGGAAUUCGGCAUAUUAGCCCCGUAACUUCGGUUUAAGGGGUCCCUGCAUUCCUAAGCGGGUCUGCAGGGCGCAGUGACUAGGACGGCCCGACUGUUUAACAAAAACUUAACUGGCUGCUAAGCCGUAAGGCCUUGUAUAGCCGGUGACGUCUGUCCAGUGCCGGCACUUCAAACUCCAGUCCAAUGGAGCUAAGAACCGGUAAACGACGGGAGUAACUAUAACUCUCUUAAGGUGGAAAUACUGCCUUAGUAAAAUCUGGCUGUAUGCUGGAACGUCUCGUUGAAGCAACAUAGGUAAUUGCCGUAGUGAUGCGGUAACAACUCCUAACAAUUGUUGUGGAGAGAUAAUCAGCAGGAAAGGUUUCUCGAUGAGAAAAAUCCUCAGAGACUGUACGCCGGACACGCAAAGUGAAGAUACAGUCCGACCCCAGCAGCGAUGUUGGGAAGUCAGCAGAAAUGUUGGCUCGCCUCAAUUGAGGUCUCGAAAGUAACAGAUGUGAGCGAAAUACCUUGUCGUUUGAUUGACGACGCGCAUCAAUGACGUAACGAGGUCGUCACUGUCCCUAAUUGAAAACCUCCGAACAUUCUAUCAUGGUGCGAAGGCCAUGGAUCUCCAGUGGGAAGCGAAGACCCCGUGAAACUUUACUGUAGCUUGCUGCUGCGAUUCGGGUUCUGUUGUAUAGCGUAAGUGGGAGUUAAGCUGAGCAAUCAGUGGUACGCCAAUGUAACACCACUCUACGGAACCUGAAUUGCUAACUUAGCAAUAAGGACAACGGUUGGCGGACAGUUUGGCUGGGGUGGCACACUCCUGAAAAAAUAUCAGGAGUGCCCAAAGGUUGGCUCAGACGGGUCGGAAAUCCGUCGCAGAGUGCAAGUGCAUAAGCCAGCCUGAUUGGAUUCCUAAUAGGAAAGAAUCCAAACAAGAAAUUGUGGACUAGCGAACCUCUGUACCUCAUUAAUCGAGGUCAGAGAUGACCGAAAAGUUACUCCGGGGAUAACAGAGUUGUCUCGCCUGAGAGCUCGUUUAAGAGCGCUCGGUUUGAUAACUGUUUAUUCCAAUUACGGUCACGUUAGAAUUUGGGGUUAGUUAAUUAGUGUUAGCUAGCUCAUUGACGUAACUGAAUUGGUAGACAGUACUAUAAUCCGAACGUUCUAGAGCAAAUCGACGGCGAGGCUUGCUACAUCGACGUCGGCUCUUCCUAUCCUGGCCGUGCACAAGCGGUCCAAGGGUGAGGGUGUUCACCUAUUAAAAGGGAUCGUGAGCUGGGUUCACAACGUUGUGAGACAGUUGGUAUGAUAUCUACUGGAGAUGCACAUACGUUUGAGUGGAAGGAAGCCAUAGUACGAGAGGAACUGGUUUUCGGCGCCACUGGUCUACCUGUUGUCCAAAAGGGCAGGCAGGGCAGCUACGCGCUACAAGGAUAAGUGCUGAAAGCAUCUAAGCACGAAGCCUUCCGCAAAAAGAAACGUAUUGGAACUCUCAUAAAACAUGAGUUUGAUAGAGCGGGUGUGUAAGUGCCAAGGUCACGAGGCAUUCAGCUCGCCGCCACUAAACGUUCCUAACUUAUCUUC
rnacentral:rRNA from 1 species